AAAAGAAACCAACAGGGAUUGCCUCAGUAACGGCGAGUGAAGCGGCAACAGCUCAAAUUUGAAAUCUGGCGUCCUCGACGUCCGAGUUGUAAUUUGCAGAGGAUACUUCGGCAUCGGUGCUGCUCCAGGUUCUUUGGAACAGGACGCCACAGAGGGUGAGAGCCCCGUCUCUGGGUGGUGCUAGAUGCCAUGUGAAGUGCCUUCGACGAGUCGAGUUGUUUGGGAAUGCAGCUCUAAAUGGGAGGUAAAUUUCUUCCAAAGCUAAAUACAGGUUGGAGACCGAUAGCGCACAAGUAGAGUGAUCGAAAGAUGAAAAGUACUUUGGAAAGAGAGUCAAACAGCGCGUGAAAUUGUUAAAAGGGAAGCGCUUGCAGUCAGACUUGGCCGCCCGGUUCGGCCGUCCCUCGUGGACGGUCUCCGCCGUGGCGGGCAGGCCAGCAUUACUUUGGGCGGGCGGAUAAAGGCCGCGGGAAUGUGGCACCCCUCGGGGUGUGUUAUAGCCCGUGGCACAAUACGUCCUGCCUGGAGUAAGGAACGCGCUUCGGCUCGGAUGCUGGCGUAAUGGCUGCAAGCGGCCCGUCUUGAAACACGGACCAAGGAGUCUAACAUCUGUGCGAGUGUUUGGGUGUCAAGCCCUUACGCGUAAUGAAAGUGAACGGAGGUGGGAGCCCUCGGGCGCACCAUCGACCGAUCCUGAUGUCUUCGGAAGGAUUUGAGUAAGAGCACAGCUGUUGGGACCCGAAAGAUGGUGAACUAUGCCUAAGCAGGGUGAAGCCAGAGGAAACUCUGGUGGAGGCUCGCAGCGGUUCUGACGUGCAAAUCGAUCGUCAAAUUUGGGUAUAGGGGCGAAAGACUAAUCGAACC
rnacentral:rRNA from 1 species